CUGGGUAUAAUACCCGAUAGGUCUCGAUUGCUGGAAUGCAUGCAGAUUUGUAGCUCCGGCGCCUAAGGAUGGGUCUGCGGCCUAUCAGGUAGUAGUGGGUGUAGCGUACCUACUAGCCUACGACGGGUACGGGUUGUGAGAGCAAGAGCCCGGAGAUGGAUUCUGAGACACGAAUCCAGGCCCUACGGGGUGCAGCAGCCGCGAAAACUUUACAAUGCUGGCAACAGCGAUAAGGGAACCUCGAGUGCCAGGUUACAAAUCUGGCUGUCGAGAUGCCUAAAAAGCAUUUCAUAGCAAGGGCCGGGCAAGACCGGUGCCAGCCG
rnacentral:rRNA from 1 species